rnacentral:misc_RNA from 1 species
AUUCAGUUUCGGUACUCUUCUAGUUCGGUUCUUAGUGAAAAACUAAAACUAAACUAAAGCAUCAAAAUAACUUCGGUUCGACACGAUUCCUGUUGGUUCGAUUCAGUACCCCAAGAACCAUGCACAGCCCCUCUGUAAAGACUACAAAGUAUUCAAUAAUUUGCGAAAUAAGCUUUAUAUAAAAUCAAGGCCAUGAUUCUAAGUUUCUCAAGUGUUUAAACAUUUUUUUUAUUUUCUUCUUGCAUGUAUCAAUAAUUUCUGUCCAAAAAGAACAUACACACUCCAUUUGGAAUUUUGGAUAGACAUAGAUGAAGAUUUAAAAAGUAUGGUUAUUUGAAUGACAUUAUGUUGGUGCUUUAUAACUUUUCACUUGAAACACAACUAAAUCCACUUGCAUUUCAAAUGCACAACUAUCCAA